UUAAUUGAAGCCAAAAUAGAGGCUUAUCACUGUUAAUGAUAGAACUAGGAAUUUACCUCAAUUAAA
rnacentral:tRNA from 1 species